UAGAGCUUGAUCCUGGCUCAGAUUGAACGCUGGCGGCAGGCCUAACACAUGCAAGUCGAGCGGCAGCGGGAAAGUAUCUUGCUACUUUUGCCGGCGAGCGGCGGACGGGUGAGUAAUGCCUGGGGAUCUGCCCAAUCGAGGGGGAUAGUUUCUGAAAACCGUUAGCUAAUACCCGCAUUCCCCCUACGGGGGAAAGCAGGGGACCUUCGGGCCUUGCGCGAUUGGAUGAACGCAGGUGGGAUUAGGUAGUUGGUGAGGUAAGGGCUCACCAAGGCGACGAUCCCUAGCUGGUCUGCGAGGAUGAUCAGCCACACUGGAACUGAGACACGGUCCAGACUCCUACGGGAGGCACCAGUGGGGAAUAUUGCACAAUGGGGGCAACCCUGAUGCAGCCACGCCGCGUGCGUGAAGAAGGCCUUCGGGUUGUAAAGCACUUUCAGCGAGGAGGAAAGGUUGGUAGCGAAUACCUGCCAGCUGUGACGUUACUCGCAGAAGAAGCACCGGCUAACUCCGUGCCAGCAGCCGCGGUAAUACGGAGGGUGCAAGCGUUAAUUGGAAUUACUGGGCGUAAAGCGCACGCAGGCGGUUCGAUAAGUUCGAUGUGAAAGCCCCGGGCUCAACCUGGGAAUUGCAUUUAAAUCUGUCCGGUUAGAGUUCUUGUAGAGGGGGGUAGAAUUUCAGGUGUAGCGGUGAAAUGUGUAGAGAUCUGGAGGAAUACCGGUGGCGAAGGCGGCCCCCUGGACAAAGACUGACGCUCAGGUGCGAAAGCGUGGGGAGCAAACAG
rnacentral:rRNA from 1 species